rnacentral:rRNA from 1 species
GUGGGGAAUCUUAGACAAUGGGGGAAACCCUGAUCUAGCCAUGCCGCGUGAGCGAUGAAGGCCUUAGGGUUGUAAAGCUCUUUCAGCUGGGAAGAUAAUGACGGUACCAGCAGAAGAAGCCCCGGCUAACUCCGUGCCAGCAGCCGCGGUAAUACGGAGGGGGCUAGCGUUGUUCGGACUUACUGGGCGUAAAGCGCGCGUAGGCGGACCCGAAAGGUGGAGGUGAAAUCUCAGGGCUCAACCUUGGAACUGCCUUCAAAACUGCUGGGCUGGAGUUCGAGAGAGGUGAGUGGAAUUCCGAGUGUAGAGGUGAAAUUCGUAGAUAUUCGGAGGAACACCAGUGGCGAAGGCGGCUCACUGGCUCGAUACUGACGCUGAGGUGCGAAAGCGUGGGGAGCAAACAGGAUUAGAUACCCGAGUAGUCC